GUCACCGGGUGAAGAUGAGCCUUCCACGCUUUGCGCGCAGCCCGCCGCGCGGCCAAGCUCUUGGAUAAAGACUGCUGGCAGAUCAGAAAAGGAUGCUCAGGAGAUGAAAAAGUUUCUUUAAGUAUGGAACAAACUGUAUUUGAAUGCCCCAAAGGAACAGUGAAACACCAAGAGGAUGUGUUGCUUUAGAGACCACACUCCUCUCAGCUACUUCUCCAUCAGUAUAUCUGCCUGCAUGCUGCCAUGCUUCCCAUCAUGAUGAUAAUUGACUAAACCUCUGGAUGGGAUCAGAUUCUCGAAAGUGAAAAGACAAGAAAUGCCAAUUUUAAAAUUGAAGAGCAAAAGACCAUAAACUUCUACUACCCCACCUCCAAUUUACCAGCUCAUAAUACACUGAAGUCAGAUGCAUUGAAUGCUUAUCUACUGUGUGCCAACUCUGUGACCCUGAGCUGUGGUGAGAUCACUAAAGGGAGCGGGGACCUGGUGAUAGAAAAUAUGCCCUGUGAAGAUGUCGGGGUGAUAAACAAAUGGAUGGACCUCUCAGUUCUUUAAAAAACACAAUGGACAAGAAAUACAGAUAAUGGAUCAAAGAAAAUCAGUACAACAUUAGAUUAAUUUCACAUUCCCCUUUAUUGUUUUAUCUGUCAUCUAACUUGUGUGAACAUUCCAGAACCAUCAAUUUGAUUAAAUAAACACAUUUUAAGGUUGUAGGGUGUGUCUAGCUGCUGCUGCUGAUUAUAUUAAAUGUAAUCAGUUUUACAAAGUACUCUGAUUUCUGCUCCUGUUAAAAAUGCCAAUGUGAAAUGGGAUAUAGCCUAUAAAUCUUUUGGAAAGGGUGUGGAGUAAUUUAGUGGCCUCACAUUUUCCUUAUUUAAUAUCUAUUAAGUGCUAAUAAUUUGAUAUUAUCUAUGACUAAAAUGUUGCACAGAAAUGAUAUAUUCCUUGCUUGUGCAUAAUUCAUAUUCUGACAUGGUAAAUUAUGAUAUAGAAAUGUUUUAUUUUCUCUGACUAAGAUUUCAUUUUAAAUACAUAGCAAAAUAUUUGAUUUAAGAAAGAGUUAAUGAUGUAUUCUAGAAUAUUAAAUCUAGAAAACAAGCGCAUUCUGGAGCUCAAUCAUUUAUGAAACAUCCUAUGAAAUGGGAUGCCAUGACUCCAUUUAUGACAGUGGUAGACACUGUUAAUUGACCACCAAAAUAUUUUGUCCCUGAGUCUUCGUGACCAUGGACUUAAACUUUUACAAUAUGCUAUCUAGAGAGACAUGUCUCACUACUAGAAAAUUCAUAAGGAAUUUGCUAAAGAGUAUAAUUCUGGUACUAAGGAUAGUUUAAAUAAGUGACCACGGGUUAAAGUUUGUCUCUCAGGAUCAAAGCUUGAACCUGGGUCCUGGUUUCCUAGAUAUCAUGGUAAUCAUUUUAGCUAUGUCUCACUGUUAUAGACCACCUCAACUUGGAGGCUUUAGGAUUCUACUUUCAUGAUGGUAGCUAAAUAAUCCUGGCUCUCUUUCUUUUUUGAAUACCAUUCUGUGGUAUUGAUUGUUGUAUGAGAGAUCUCCUGCUUCCAUACCUAAUGAAAAACUUCAAUGUCCACACUAUGGUUUCAAGUGUUGAAAUUACAAAAUAAUCACACUGAGUUCUUCAGCUUGAAGCUGAGGUGACAGUAGAGGAGGCUGGCAGAUUUGUUUCCUGCAGACACCAGAAAGUCAUCAUAGCCAAAUUGAUUCCCAUUUUGCUUAGAUCUUGACUGGAAUUUUAAAUUCUAAGUAGGAGUGAAAUAAGCCUGAAUUCUGAUUGCUGUUGUGGGACUGGAUAUUUUAAAAUAAGGAUUUUACUUUCCCAAACUCUUCUGAAGCAUACUGAUAAACCAUCACCAUCUUAGCAGCUUUACUUAAAAGCCCUUUAGGGAGCUAAAACAAUUGUCUUCUAGGAAAGAAGAAAAUGCUGUCAAAAUUGCCAAAAUUUUGUUGAUUUAUUUAAUCUGCAAUGGCAGGCUUGCUUCACAUCCUCAUUCCCAGUGAAAUCAAAUAAUUGCAAGAUGGAAUGGUAGUGAAAUCUUAUAUUCAAAUUUCUCAAUAAUAAUACCUAAUGUAUACAGGGCAAAAUCUACUUUUUAACCAUUUUUAACCUCAUUUGAAUCUUCACUCACACAUUUGUAUAGUAUACAUAAAUAGCAUAAGGUCAUCCAAAGAAAAGAGGCUAGAAAUUAAAUUCAUUUUCAGAUAUGAGUCAUUCCAAAAUUUGGACUCUGCCAAUCUUUUCUUUUUGUGUCUUGGAAGAAAGGGGUGAGGGUCAUAAUUUUUGCAGAGUUCAAGGGAUUCAGGAAAGAAGCAUGUAAUAACAUCCUGCCAACUCUAAAACCAAUUUCGGGAUUCAAGUAAACGAACCCAUAGUUAUAUAAAUCAUGAAUGAAUAUGCAGAUGAUGAAACAGACUUUCUUUGUUAGAGAAUGGCACCUAAUAGAAUUAGAAGAAAUGGAGUUAUUUUGAAAACCUGGACUUAACCAUCAUAAGAAAAGCAGACUGAUACCACUAAGAUUUAUUAAUAAGACAAUUCUUGAUCCAGAUUUUCAGAUUCAUAACAUUUCAAAUAAUCUCUUUAUCACUGUAUUCUCAAUAAAAAUAUUGGAUAUUGGUGAAAAAAAUAAAAACCGUGCGUUGGG